rnacentral:lncRNA from 1 species
GCAAGGGUACUGCACAAGACAAAAUUAAAACCCUAAGAGAAGCUGGGGUUACUGUUGUUGAAUCGCCUGCAAAGAUAGGCAGUGCAAUGCUUGAGGUCUUCAAACAGAGGGGUCUUGUUUGAUCCAGUGAGUUUAACAAAAACGAAGCAGUUUCUCGUAUUUGGUCGAGCCGUGAUACAGCAUAAAGUAAAACUAUAUGUUUCUAAAUCAAUUUGCAUUGCCCCAUCGGUAGAAAAGAACUUGGAUUAGGUGUUAAUUGUGAUUGUGUAAAUUUUGGUGUGUUGAGGAGCAGUCGGCCAGUGUUCUAUUCUUUACCAGGGAACAAUUUGUGAGCAAAUACCAUGCCAGAAUUUAUUUAUUAAGAAAUGCGGAUCUAUGCUUAGGAUAUUGAUAUAUCUACAAAUUUUAAACGGUUUCUAUCCGGGUUUAAGGUUGAAGCCACCGCAACUCCAACAGCUUUGCAAAAUAAAGCCACUCACAUUUAAGCCAGAUUCCCCAAGUGUUUUGAGUAUUUGGCUACGAGAUAUUUUUAUCUGUGAAUUACUUUUAUUUCGAGGGUAUAUUAGUCAAUCUGUAAGGGGACACAUUUACAUUGACUUAAGAGCAUCUACAACGGGCCCAUCAUUUCUGAGUUCCCCCUCCACAAUGGGACUCUUAUUUUUUUUUUCUACUUUAUUUUUUUAAUUAAUUAAAUAUUAAAUUUAACAACAUAAAUUUCAUUAAAAUUAAAUAUUACACUAAUUAAAGAGCCCCAUGCAUAAAAUUGCAGGAGGAUUAAAAUUAAUAUUACUUGCCACUUGCAUAAAAUUAUUGGCAAGAUACAUGAAAAUAAUUUGGGAUUAAUAUUCGGAUAAAAAAAUAGAAGAUGAUCCUGAUUCGAAACUUCAUCAACGGAUGAAGAAUUCAAAGAAGAAUUAGAGGAAGAACUGUUGGAAGAAGACAUUUUUUUAGAGUAUAGAAUAAUGGAGAAGAAAAAAAAUUAAAGAAAAAAAGAAUGGAGCUUUCGGAGUCAUUGGUGAAAAGAUACCUUUUGAAAUAGCUAUUUUGAACAAAAAAACACAAUAUUUGGCCACUAAUUGAAAAAACACAAAAUCUGGCCAUUUAUUACGUGUAAAGAUUGUUUUGCUUUUAAUUAGGGCAGACCAGAUUCAAGUCGAAUUUGGAUUUGCGCGCGGGUUAAGCACAUAUGGCAGUAUUAGUGCCAUAUGUGACCAACCGAAAAAAAUAAAAUAAAAAAUCUAAGAUAUGGCACUAAUGACACUAAUAUGACCAUAAGUACCAUUUGUAGCAAUACUACAUAAAAGAGUAUAUAGCACUAAUGACACUAAUAUGACCAUAAGUAUAGGUGCUGCCGGCGAUGUCAUGCAAACCUGUGCGAGCGCCUGAUUGGAAGAGGGAGACGAUGGGGAAUGGAUUGAGGUUUUGAUUUUUUUUUUCUUUUCAGAUUGUAAGUGUUAUAAAUAAAUUUAAAAUUUAUUACUUAUAUUUUUAAUCAAUUUUAUAAAAUAUAAGGAUAUUUUUGUAAAAAUAUUUAUAAUUAAUAUAUUUUUAUUUUUAUGGUUAUUUUAAUAUUUGCCUCUAAAAUAAAUUCGUUUUCAUUUUCUGGACGUGCAUCAUCUAAAACAUUUAAAAACUUAGUAAGAAAAGAACAUGAUAUUACAUAUUUCUAAUAUGAUGCUUAAUUUUUGGUGAUUAGGAAGAUAGUAAUAACUAUUAUUAGAAUUGAAAAAGAGGAUUAUGAGGUAGCUAAUACAUAAAUUGUAGAUUUUAGAAAAGAAAAAAAGAAGAAAAGAAUGGGAGAACAUAAAGAUACCAUCUAGGAUUGAAUGUUAUCGAGGUGCAUGGCUUCAAUAUGUAUCUCUUUAAACAAAUAGGGCCAGCCACAUUUCACAAACUGGUGAAAUAGGGGGAAAAAAUAUUUAAUUUAUUUUUNAAAUUCUAGAUUUAGUUGUAAUGGAUGCUCGAGUAGCUGCUUGGUUUUUGCACUUGUUCUCUCUCUCAUUUGCAAUGAUAAUACUUGCAUCAUUUUCUGAAGAUUGACUAUGUUCUGGUUGAAUAUGCAGCUAUUGUAUCAGGAGGCAAGGGUACUGCACAAGACAAAAUUAAAACCCUAAGAGAAGCUGGGGUUACUGUUGUUGAAUCGCCUGCAAAGAUAGGCAGUGCAAUGCUUGAGGUCUUCAAACAGAGGGGUCUUGUUUGAUCCAGUGAGUUUAACAAAAACGAAGCAGUUUCUCGUAUUUGGUCGAGCCGUGAUACAGCAUAAAGUAAAACUAUAUGUUUCUAAAUCAAUUUGCAUUGCCCCAUCGGUAGAAAAGAACUUGGAUUAGGUGUUAAUUGUGAUUGUGUAAAUUUUGGUGUGUUGAGGAGCAGUCGGCCAGUGUUCUAUUCUUUACCAGGGAACAAUUUGUGAGCAAAUACCAUGCCAGAAUUUAUUUAUUAAGAAAUGCGGAUCUAUGCUUAGGAUAUUGAUAUAUC